GCAAGCAUGAACAUGGUUUCGAAUUCCCCCCUAGCUAAGGGGGGUUUAGUUACUCAUAAUUGCAACAAAAUCAGAAAAUAACAAAGUAGACAUUGAAAGCAAGAAUGAAGUACACCUAAAACGCUCCAAAGUUUCAAGCUUGAAACGCCAAGGACCUUCGUUUUCACCACCUUGUUGCAACAUAAGUGUCUAAGGAUGUGUAUGGAUAUAUGGAAAGGUUAUGAAUGUAUUUAGGAUUGGUGAAUGUCUCGGCCAAGGGAAUGGAGUGUAUGGAGUUGUGUUUUGAGAUAUAUGGCAAAUGGAUGGAUGAAUGGAUGAAUGGAUGGUGCUCACAGCCUAGGAAUGAAAGUGUAAGUGUAUGGAGUUGUGAGAUGUGAAUGUAGUGUCUUUGGAUGGAUUUUUUCUGAUUCUUGUUAUGGUGAAGGGUGGAUGUAUAUAUAGGCUAGGGAGAGGACCAUCAUCUAAUUAAGGUGGUAGUGGUGUAUGUUGUGGUAAUGAAUGGAUGGAAUGGGUGUAGUGGAUGGAUGUUUGGUAAUGAGUGGAUGUAAUGGGUGUAGUGGAUGAGUGUUUGGUAAUGAGUGGAUGUAAUGGGUGUAGUGGAUGGAUGUUUGGUAAUGAGUGGAUGUUUGGUAAUGAGUGGAUGUAAUGGGUGUAGUGGAUGGAUGUUU
rnacentral:lncRNA from 1 species